AAGUCGUAACAAGGUCUCCGUUGGUGAACCAGCGGAGGGAUCAUUACUGGAUGCAAUACUCCAACGACCACUGUGAACUUACCGAAACGUUGCCUCGGCGGGGCUCCUCGCGGAGCGCCAAAGCCCGCCGGCGGCCUGCUACUCUGCCUCAUCAGUGUCUCUCUGAGUACCACGAAAUAAGUUAAAACUUUCAACAACGGAUCUCUUGGUUCUG
rnacentral:misc_RNA from 1 species